rnacentral:rRNA from 1 species
CCUACGGGUGGCAGCAGUGAGGAAUAUUGGUCAAUGGCCGUAAGGCUGAACCAGCAAAGUCGCGUGAAGGAUGAAGGACCUAUGGUUUGUAAACUUCUUUUAUAGGGGAAUAAAGGAAUCCACGUGUGGAUUUUUGCAUGUACCCUAUGAAUAAGCAUCGGCUAACUCCGUGCCAGCAGCCGCGGUAAUACGGAGGAUGCGAGCGUUAUCCGGAUUUAUUGGGUGUAAAGGGUGCGUAGGUUGUUUUUUAAGUCAGCGGUGAAAGUUUGUGGCUCAACCAUAACAUUGCCGUUGAUACUGGAAGACUUGAGUGUAGUUGAGGUAGGCGGAAUGCGUGGUGUAGCGGUGAAAUGCAUAGAUAUCACGCAGAACUCCGAUUGCGAAGGCAGCUUACUAAGCCAUAACUGACACUGAGGCACGAAAGCGUGGGGAUCAAACAGGAUUAGAUACCCGUGUAGUC